UACAGAGGGUGCGAGCGUUGUCCGGAAUCACUGGGCGUAAAGGGCGCGUAGGCGGCCUGAUAAGUAGGGGGUGAAAUCCUGUGGCUUAACUGCAGGGCUGCCUCCUAGACUGUUAGGCUCGAGCACGGUAGAGGCAGAUGGAAUUCCCGGUGUAGCGGUGGAAUGCGUAGAGAUCGGGAAGAACAUCGGUGGCGAAGGCGGACUGCUGGGCCGUUGCUGACGCUGAGGCGCGACAGCGUGGGGAGCAAACAGG
rnacentral:rRNA from 1 species